UGAGCCGAUGAGGUAAAGUCCGGGCUCCACCGGAAAAGAUGCCGGGUAAUAACCGGGCAGUAAAGGGAAGUUGCAUUUUUUUGUAUAACCCCUUGACUGACAGAAAGUGCUACAGAAAAUAACCGCCUGGGAGACCAGGUAAGGGUGAAAAGGCAGGGUAAGAGCCUACCGCGUUUCUGGCAACAGAACGGCAUAAGUAAACCUCAUCUGGAGCAAAAUCGGACAGCAGUUUGGUUUCCGGCCUUAUACUGCGGGUAGGUUGCUGGAGAUACCUGGUGACAGGUAUUGCGGAUAGAUGAUCACGCAUUCUAUAUGAAUGUGCCAGAACCCGGCUUACCA
rnacentral:RNase_P_RNA from 1 species